rnacentral:rRNA from 1 species
GACGAACGCUGGCGGCGUGCCUAACACAUGCAAGUCGAACGGAAGGACCCUGCUUUUGCGUGGUUCUCGAGGGGCGAACGGGUGAGUAACACGUGAGUAACCUGCCCUUGACUGGGGGAUAACUUCAGGAAACUGGGGAUAACACAGGAGAGCAGCUGCUGCAGCAUGGGGGGGGUUGGAAAGUAUCGGCGGUUGUGGCUCGACUCGCGGCUUAUCAGCUGGUUGGGUGGGUAGUUGCUUACCAAGGCUUUGACAGGUAGCCGGCCUGAGAGGGUGGACGCCGACCUGAGUACUACGAUACGGCGCAGUCUCGUACGUGAGGCAGCAGUGGGAAGUAUUGCCCAGUCAGGGCGAGCGUGUUGCAGCAACCCCGCGAUCGUGAUGACGUCCUUCUGGUUGUAAACCGCUUUCGCCUGUGACGUAGCGUGAGUGACGGUACUGGGUAAAGAAGCACCGGCUAACUACGUG